UACAGAGGGUGCGAGCGUUAAUCGGAAUUACUGGGCGUAAAGGGCGCGUAGGUGGUUACGUAAGUGAGAUGUGAAAUCCCUGGGCUUAACCUGGGAACUGCAUCUUAUACUGCGUAGCUGGAGUACAUGAGAGGGUAGUGGAAUUUCCGGUGUAGCGGUGAAAUGCGUAGAUAUCGGAAGGAACACCAGUGGCGAAGGCGGCUACCUGGCAUGAUACUGACACUGAGGCGCGAGAGCGUGGGGAGCAAACAGG
rnacentral:rRNA from 1 species